rnacentral:rRNA from 1 species
UACGGGGGGGGGCAAGCGUUGUUCGGAAUUACUGGGCGUAAAGGGCUCGUAGGCGGCCAACUAAGUCGGAUGUGAAAUCCCCAGGCUUAACCUGGGAACUGCAUCCGAUACUGGAUGGCUUGAGUUCGGGAGAGGGAUGCGGAAUUCCAGGUGUAGCGGUGAAAUGCGUAGAUAUCUGGAGGAACACCGGUGGCGAAGGCGGCAUCCUGGACCGACACUGACGCUGAGGAGCGAAAGCCAGGGGAGCAAACGGGG